UGGGGAAUUUUUCGCAAUGGGCGCAAGCCUGACGAAGCAACGCCGCGUGGAGGAUGAAGGCCUUCGGGUUGUAAACUCCUGUCGACCGGGACGAAAGUUAUCUGGGCUAAUAUCCUAGGUAAUCGACUGUACCGGUGGAGGAAGCCACGGCUAACUCUGUGCCAGCAGCCGCGGUAAUACAGAGGUGGCAAGCGUUGUUCGGAAUUACUGGGCGUAAAGGGCGCGUAGGCGGUCUUUUAAGUCUUGUGUGAAAUCCCUCGGCUUAACUGAGGAACUGCACGGGAUACUGGAAGACUUGAGUUCGGGAGAGGGAAGCGGAAUUCCGGGUGUAGCGGUGAAAUGCGUAGAUAUCCGGAGGAACACCGGUGGCGAAGGCGGCUUCCUGGACCGACACUGACGCUGAGGCGCGAAAGCUAGGGGAGCAAACGG
rnacentral:rRNA from 1 species